CAGUAGCGUAUAUUAAAGUUGUUGCAGUUAAAAAGCUCGUAGUUGGAUUUCUGAUAGUAGCGUUGGGCCCGCCCGGGUUACCGGUGUGAGUGCCUGUUCGCUCCUUUCAUCCUUCUAGAGAACGGUUCUCUCCUUCAUUGGCAGUGGGAUCGCAAUCUAGAUCUUUUACUUUGAAAAAUUAGAGUGUUUAAAGCAGGCUUGUGCUAUGAAUACAUUAGCAUGGAAUAAUAAUUUAGGACUUUAGUUCUAUUUUGUUGGUUUCUAGAACUGAAGUAAUGAUUGAUAGGGAUAGUUGGGGGUGCUAGUAUUCAGCGGCCAGAGGUGAAAUUCUUGGAUUCGCUGAAGACUAACUUAUGCGAAAGCAUUCACCAAGGAUGUCUUCUUUAAUCAAGAACGAAAGUUGGGGGAUCGAAGACGAUUAGAUACCAU
rnacentral:rRNA from 1 species